rnacentral:lncRNA from 1 species
AUGAGAAGCGGCCAAGCAAGCCUCACGUGUAACAUAACAUAUAAAACGUAUACGCCUUAUAAGCAAGUCCUGAGAUGGGGAUGGGGAGGAGGGAAGUCUUUCGGGGGACCCUGGUGCGCUCAAGAGAAUUAUCAGUGUAGACGCCUGUCUCUCCUGAGGGAAGAGCCCCUAGGUUAUCAGAGAAGCAGGCUUUCAGGAAUGGGAAGAGCUUUUUGCCUCAUGGGACAGAAGGUGAGAUUUUCCUAUUGUCUUCAAUCUCUGUUGAUACCAAAGCAUAAGCCUUUUCUACAUACAUGUUUAGAACUGUAAACUGAAUCCCAUGAUGGAUAGCAAAGUACAUAGACUCCUUGAUUCUGACCAAGCCAGCAACAUGCACUUGAAUUUGAGUUGGAUUUAGAUGAGCAAUUCAAUGGUAGACUAGUAGUAGAAAGAAGAUUGUCGACUUAGGAGUCGAAUCACACUGUGAUUUUGGUGAGGAUUUUGCUCUCUCUGGGGCAGUUUGGUAUUUCAGUUGACUUAGCAAUUUGCAGAGUUUGCCCACUGUAGCACUUCACGUCUCCCCAAUUCAAUUUCCUCAUCUACACAAUGAAUACAACUUACUGUGCAGGUCUAUCAUAAGGACCAAAUAAAAUAUAUAUUUCAGAUGCUUACUAUACUGCCUCGCACAUAAUGCUGAGUGCUUAUUUCUUGUGAUUCAGUCCUUAUAUGGUUCUACUGUUAAAGGCCAGUCCUCAAUAAAGUAAUGUGGGGCUACAGUAACCUUCUGCCACCCUCUCCCUCUGCCAAAAAAUACACAGCUAACUAAGAAUAGUCCCCUAAUUUUGACAAUUUUAUUGUACCUUUCUUAAGGAACCACAUCACCUUCUACUUACUACAUAAUUUAUUGGACACUUACCAUGAACAAUGUGCUGUAAGCACUUUACAUGGGCAAUCUCAUUUCAUUUCCCCUAUAAUCCUAUAAGUUCAAUGCUAUGGUUCUUCUUCUUUUGCUUCAAACAUACUUGGUUCACCAAUAUGAAGAACCCCCACUAAGUAUUUUUUAAACAUGUUUUAUUAUUAUUGAAAAACAUUUAUACAAUGCCUUCUGAAUUGUUUUGUAAACUUUGUUCAAGCAGAGCACUAAGAUACAAUUUAUAAUUUCAAUCCUCCAUAAAGUGAGAUAUAUAUAUAUAUAUACAUAUUUUACCACCGAGAGGAAACAUAAUUUAAAGGGUCUACUAUCUCUCUCUUUUUUAAAUCAUAUGUGUGCUUCCUAUCUCUGAUUAAGUUUAAGACAUUAUCUUCAAUAAGAAUAGCCAAAACUCCUAUUAAUAUCUGUUUAAGAACUGCAGCCAAUAUCUUCAAAGUGCCAAAUGACAACACUGACAAGAUGGUAGAGGUCAGCCAUCUUGUUGAAAUGAAGAGCAAGAGAUCACUGUAGAAGAAUUCCCAUGGAAAUUACUCCACCCACAUUCAGCAUCUAAAAAAUAUUAUAGAUAUUCAUGCACACUGAAUUGACAAAUACAAAUGUUCUAUAAAAAUACCCCUAACUUUGAACAAUUUUGGAGGUUAGUAGAGCAAUGAAGAAUGCCUGCUUGAUACUGAGACAUUUACCAGGAAAAGAAGGGUUCCCUAGUUAAACAGACGUUACAUCUCUAUUUUCAAACCUCAGUCAAUUCAGUCCAUUUAGGAAAACUCCUAAAAU